rnacentral:rRNA from 1 species
GACGAACGCUGGCGGCGUGCCUAAUACAUGCAAGUCGAACGCAGUGGGGACGGGUGAGUAACACGUGGGUAACCUCCCAUCAGAGGGGAUAACACUUGGAAACAGGUGCUAAACCGAUACUGAUGGAUGAACCCGCGGUGCAUUAGCUAGUGGGUGAGGUAACGGCUCACCAAGGCCACGAUGCCGAGGCGACCUGAGAGGGGUAGCGUCCCCACGGGGACUCGGACACGGACCAGACUCGUACGGAGGGCAGCGGUAGGGAAUCUUCGGCAAUGGACGAAAGUCUGACCGAGCAACGCCGCGUGAGUGAAGAGGGUUUUCGGAUCGUAAAACUCUGUUGUUAGAGAAGCGGUAUCUAACCAGAAAGCCACGGCUAACUACGUGCCAGCAGCCGCGGUAAUAC